AUUUCUAUAGUUUAUAUAAAACAUUACUUUUUCAAAGUAAAAAUGAGUUUACUCUAGAGAUA
rnacentral:tRNA from 1 species